AUAUUCAUUUUGUUUUGCUUGUAAGCUUACUCUCUGAUAUGCGCUAGCUUUCUCACGGAACUAUAGAUUUGAACUUCGAAAGUAUUGCAUUUGCGAGGUAUUUUCAGUUUCUCGUGGUCUUUGCGUUAUGGGAAAAUCACCAGGGAAAUGGAUUAAGACGGUGUUUUUUGGAAAGAGAACUUCCAAAACUGGUUACCAUAAACGAAGAGGGGUAAUAAAUUUUACUAAUUACUAC